rnacentral:lncRNA from 1 species
CUACCUGUUGUAGAAGAUUCCCUCAGAAACAGGACGGUAACCAGAUACCCAGUAUGAGGCGGGCAGGUAUUGGGAUGUCUGUCACAGGGUGAGAUUACCCCUGCCUCUGUUGUGACUAAGCCACCAGUAGGAGACACAGCAGGUGAGCUGCACAUGAUUUUUCUCCAACUUCAUGGCAUCUCGUUGGAGUACCCAAGGAUUUCUCCUAUAAACAGCCCCCCAACACACACACCUGCUAU